CCAGACUGAAUAUUUGGCAGCUCCCAGCAAGAACCACAGAGUUUACAUAAAAGUAGCUCGUAGCUCUUGUUGCUCAGAUUUGCAGAGGCAGAAGGAACACAACGUGUUGCUCCACUGAACAAGCAAAAGACCUUGACUCUGCUGUCACAUACAAGGAGGAGUUUGUCUCACUUUGUGAGAGCCUGUAUAACUAUGGACUGGAAGAGUAUGAAAAACGAGAAGCUGAAGUCUCUAAAUUCUACAAAAGAUUCCAUGAAAUUCUGGCAGUCAAGCAGGAAGAAAGCAAGAGAAUAAUCUCAGACUUUGAGAGUCGGAACGAAAGGAGGCUGGAUGAGCUCUAUCAGGACGGGAGUGGUGAAAUUGCUGACUCUAAACGAGCCCAGGGCAAGGAGGAGAUCCAGCAGCUGUGGCAUGCACUGAUGAUCUUGGAAGCUCUGGUGUCCAACGACCUGGAGGAACUGUUGCAGGAUUUUAAAAGAAGCAUUGAUGUCAUAGCAUCAACAUUCACUGAAAACAUUCAAGGGAUAUAUCCUUUUCACAGUAGGCUGGUCUGGACCUCCCAGUCAUGCACCUACACCUCACCUCUAAAUCCAAAAAUGAGCCUCCA
rnacentral:lncRNA from 1 species